rnacentral:rRNA from 1 species
UACGUAGGGUCCGAGCGUUGUCCGGAAUUAUUGGGCGUAAAGAGCUCGUAGGCGGUUUGUCACGUCGGAUGUGAAACCCUGAGGCUCAACCUCAGGCCUGCAUUCGAUACGGGCAGACUAGAAUUCGGCAGGGGAGACUGGAAUUCCUGGUGUAGCGGUGAAAUGCGUAGAGAUCGGCAGGAACACCCAGGGGGAAACCAGUCGACUGGGCAGCACCUGACGCUGAGGUGCGAGAGCGUGGGGAGCGAACCGG